CAGAUAUUGACCUUUUCGACAUUAUUUUAAGGGAGACAACUCUGAGUGGAUUUAGUGAGGUCGGGGGGGUACUCGAUAAUCUACUGCAGUGCGUCUGCAUACAGUUCUAUGUUGAAGCAAUUAUAAUUUCCCAAUAAUUUGCAGAUAUAACUUAUAUGGAAUAUCACACUUCACAGUGUCAACAGAAACUGGGAUACUGUACUGAGUAUCUAAUGCUGCAUGAAGCUCAAGAUUUCUUCACCUGGAAUUUUAUUAACUCUUGCAAUAAAUAUUAUACAUCACCACAGUUACAUAACUAUGUUCUUUGAAAAAAUAAAAUAAAGAUACUUCAGA